rnacentral:rRNA from 1 species
UACGUAGGUCCCGAGCGUUGUCCGGAUCUAUUGGGCGUAAAGCGAGCGCAGGUGGUUUAUUAAAUCUGGUGUAAAAGGCAGUGGCUCAACCAUUGUAUGCAUUGGAAACUGGUAGACUUGAGUGCAGGAGAGGAGAGUGGAAUUCCAUGUGUAGCGGUGAAAUGCGUAGAUAUAUGGAGGAACACCGGUGGCGAAAGCGGCUCUCUGGCCUGUAACUGACACUGAGGCUCGAAAGCGUGGGGAGCAAACAGG